ensembl:lncRNA
AGCUUGCCUCUUUUUCUUGCCCCUGAUGACUUGCAUUUUCUCCCAGACAGCUGCCAUUUUGGUCUUCCAGCCAUUCUCAAGACUAGAAGUGUACAGCUUUGCGCAAGGGCAACUUCUCUGCAUGGCAGAGGUGAGGGGAAAUGAAAAUGAUGCUGGGACUAAGUGUCGCCUCUCUGAGAAGUGUCGCAGUCGCAGUCAUGUGGCAUAUUAGCGGCACACAGAAGCGAAGCCCAUGUAAAAGGCUGGAGUAAAAAGGACCAGCUCUCCACAUGACACACGCCUGUAGUACACCGUGACUGGCAGGUCUGUUACAUUUCCCAGAAUGGUUCCCAGCGCUGGAGCUAAUUCCUUUUCGGAGAACCUACAUUUCUCACCUGCUGAUUGCAAUUAGCCACUGCCAGCUGGGGCCUGGUAUGCAGCGGAAAAGCUAACAAGAAGUAGAGACCGCGCGGAACCCAGACAGGGCAGAGGAUGUGCAUAAGUUUUGUUGAAACUGUCAACAGGGCAAGAGGUGAAUGCAGCAAAUCGUAAGGAGAAGACCUGAAUGAGGCAAGUGGCCACUCACCUUGUACCUGGGUCCCAAAUCCCCAGAGGCUCCAGGCUCAGCAACAGAUGCUCACAAUGAUGGCAACUGCUGAAGUUGAUGGGUAAUGAUUUUGCGGCAUCGUCUCCACUGACUCGGGCCCUCCUCCACCCUGGCUGCUGCUGAAGACCCCAGGAAGCAUGGCCCUGACCUCUGUUUAGUCUCCAUUCAGGAGCAGCCGGCCACCAUGUUGUAAGGCAACCCUGUGCCUGAGGCCAGCCAGCAGCCCUAAGAGUGGGCUUAGGAGCAGAUCCUGCCCCCACCGAGCCUGGAAAUGGGACUGCAACCCCAGUGAUACCUGGACUGAAGCCUCGUGAGGGACACCGAGCCAGAGAACCCAGCUAAGCCGCGUCCAAAUUCCUGACCUUCAGAGAUGAACCUAGCUGCCGUGCUGGGAGAAGCCCAGACCAUCUGGAAGAGGCCACAUGGAGGAGAACGGAAGCUCUGGACCCCAGCCCUGGCGGAGCUCCGCAGCCGGCCGCCGUCAGCACCAACGUGGCAGCCACGUGAGGGAGCCAUCUUGAAAGUGGACCUUCCAGCCCCAGCCGAGCCACCCCAGUUGACACCCCAUGAGGUGGAGCUGCUGGGUUCCAGCCAAUCCCCAGAGGCCACCAACUGUGCCCAUCAACAGAAGUGGACGUCGAGGGCUCUCAUCCCAUUGCUGCUCUGCCCUGGGAGUCGGCAGCUGAUGACACGGGCUGGCCCCUGAUUGCCAAUCUGGAUGACGCCUUGAAACACCGCAUCCCCGCGAUCCCCUCAAACGCAGCUGUGAUUAGUCUGAUCUCCAAGGCCUCGGAGAAAAACCCCAGUGACUGAAUAAUAAUGGGAAGGUCAGGCUUGAAGGGUGGAAAGUCUGACACUGAGGGGCUGUUUGAACGCAGUGAAGUUUUAUUCAUUCCACGUGCGUGAAAUAAGGGCUAACAGGAUGGUCAGGGAGCAGCUCUGACUUAAUGAAUGGAUACGAAUCACGGACGGGGUCCCUUUCUUUUUUUUAAGAACAGAAAUGGGUACUAUUGAAAUGAUCUUUGCAUCUGUAGAAGCAAUUUGAAUUCUUGACUGAGCUGGGAGUCGCCUUUCCAAACGUGACUGAGAAUGUGGCUCUGGCACCUGACUGCUUGUGCUUCGACUUCGGGCUGUGUGACCUUGGGCAAGUCUGUGACCUCUCCGUGCCUCCCGAUCAUCAGCUGUAAAGUGGACAGAAUAAGAAGACCUUGCUCACAGGGUUGCUUUGAAGAUGAACUGAGACAUCCAUAUAAAGCACUCCAGCCCCUUCUUCAGAGUCAGAACUCAGUCAAUGUUAUAUAUUAUCAUUCUAUUAUUAUGAGUGUUUUUUUCCCCCAAGGAUACUGCCGAGAUUAACAUCAGUUCUGGUUCUCCGUGAUGACAAAAUAAAUCCAAAUUUCUGAA